UUUCCGUAGGUGAACCUGCGGAAGGAUCAUUACAGAGUACCGGUGCCCUCUGGGCGCCUACUCCAACCCUUUGUCUACCACACUUGUUGCUUUGGCGGGCCGGGUGCCCCCACAGGCACCGCCGGCCCCGGCUGGAGAGCGCCCGCCAGAGGAUAUACAAACACUGCUCACGGUGUCGUCUGAGUAAAAUUUUAAAUGAAUCAAAACUUUCAACAACGGAUCUCUUGGUUCUGGCAUCGAUGAAGAACGCAGC
rnacentral:misc_RNA from 1 species